AUGGCAUUGACCAUCAUUUCAGGAAGUUUCAGAAACGUCUAAGGAGAGUCCUGGAGGGCCUUGGACAUUUUGUGGUUUACUGCCUCUCUUUGAUCCACCAAGACAUGACUGUGCUGAAACCAUCCGUAGAGCACUUGACCUGGGAGUUUCUGUUAAAUUAAUAACAGGUAUGUGAUCUGGACCCUGACUGAAUUAGUCGUCCAUUUAAUCAAUUAGUAGAUAAUGUCUUUACAGAUAUGAAGUUUUCAAUAAUUUUCUUAGAAGUACCAUAAAAGCUAUCAAGGAGCAAAUGUUCUAAAUCAGUCAGUGAAGUUUAUUUUUCAUAAGCAUCAUCAAAUAUAUGAUUCCACCCUUCAAAAGUUUGGAAUAAUUUAUCAAGUAUCCCCAGUAAUAUGUGUCAACCUAUAUCACUCUCCAAUCAUAACCUCUAAAUCUGCAGUGACUAGUAUCUGUUUUCGGUUUGAAUUAUCGCUAAAUAAAGGAUUAAGUUUCUUGUAAUACUCAGUUGAGCUGCCUUGAUGUCAUAGUAUGAAUUUUAUUUCUGCUGCAAUCGCAUUCAAAUAUUUUGUAUUGAUUCAGGAACAACUCUUGUUACGGUUAAACGAUCCUCUUCAAAUAAUACUUCCUUGGACAUGUUAAAAUAAAAAAUGUGAAAAUGCCCUGAAUAUACCACUUACUGGCUUAUGAUAUUCGAAUAAUAUUUUCUUCACAAUUUUUUAGAUGUUAGGUUCAUAAAUUUUCAUAAUAGCUCAAAAUAUAGGCAGGAGGCAUGGCGGGUUGGGAUUUCUUCUUUGAAUAAAUGUUCCAACUGGAAUGUUAUUAUAUAUAUUGAAGAUGCUAAAGAUGUUCUGUGCUAGAACAGGUGAUCAGUUGGUAAUUGCAAAUGAGAGAGGUCGACGGCUUGGCAUGGGAAUAAAUAUGUACCCCUCUUCAUCAUUGUUUGGUCACGACAAGGAUGAAAAUGAAGCCCUGCCUGUGGAUGGACUCACUGAAAAAGCAGAUGGAUUUGCUGGUGUCUUCCCCAGUAACCAAAUCUGCUGAAAGGAUCAAAAUAAUCCAUUUCCUUGUGGCUUUUUCAACUUUAUCCAGUUCAACGCUUUUAAAGAAACUCUUGCUCACAGGAGUGAUAUUACCUCAGAGGAACAUGUUAAAAGAGUGAGAGGUAGAUCCAAAAUUAACAUGGCUUGUUUCACUGGAUCUUCAAAUGACAAAAUAAUGUUCAUGCAGCAGAGUUGAUAAUAAAGUUAAGUUUGUUGUUUCUGUUGUUGUCAUUAAGAAAAGAUGAACACAAGCAAAAAGUUAUGUGUACAGAGAAAUCACAAACCGCUAGUAUAUGACGUAUGCAAGACAUGGAAAUAUACAUGAAACUAAUAACCUAUUACUGCUCUUUCUGUGGAAGUGAUACCUAUCUUGCAUGAAAUACCUGGUCAUUCACUAUAGAAAGUUAUGAAUUUGUUCCUUGUAAUAUCCUUAUUUUAUUUUAGUCUGACAUCAUUCUAUAAAGUGUAACACAUUCUCAAUGUGCUUGUGUUAUGUUCUGGAUUAUUUGCUCAUGCUAAAAUCUUGUAUACACUGUCUGACCCUCUUAAACGAAGUUUCUCACCUCAGAAAUCCUUAAAAGACAUACGAUCUCUCCAUACAAAAGCUCUGUUAGAAAUCUUAGAUUGCAGCUUGUGGCUUUUGCCUUCUUCAUUUUUUUAUUUAUUUAUUUUUUUUUAUUUGCAAAGGAUUGUCCUCGUUUCUUUCUUAUCAUUCCUUCGUUUCUCUCUUUGUCACUUAAAGUGAAUGCUUUAAAUGAAUAAUGGCGAUAUAUUGUUACUAGUAUCUAUUUGUGGGGUUGGGGAUAGGAAAGUGAUAGGCUCCAAUCCACCUCACCUAUUCUAAAAGGAAAUAGAAGAAUUAGCCUACAAAUGGCGGAGGGAAAACUGAAUUCUGUUAGAAAUAGAUCUAUAAAUAAGGGUAGAAUAUAGGAAUAGAGGUAGGCAAAUAUUGAGUAAGGAAUAGGAGUCCUGUAAACGUCUUCAUACUUGUAACUUCUGCGGUUUAUUUCAAUCAAUAUUCCUUUCAGAUUCAAUCUUCUUUUUAGAGUCGUAUCAAAUUGGUAUCAGAGCCGUCAGAUGAAUGGAAUCAAACUUCAAAAACGAGUGGAAGGAGAAAUGGAGUUCAAUAUUCAAUCGGUGGGAGAAGCUGGUAAUGCAACGAGAAGAAGAACGGUACAAUGAUUCAGGACUGGAUUCAUGUGGCCGACUAAAAAUUUCAAUAUUCUAUGGCGAAAACACAAACGAGUGGGUGUCUAAGGUAGAAAAGAUCUUCUCGAGAAAUCAAUUAUUGGAGGCAGAGAAAAUAGAGCCUGCAGUAGCUUGUUUUGACUGGCAAACUUGGGAUUGGUUUCAGUUAAUAGAUCAUUGCCAACCUGUGCGAACUUGGAAAGAGUUGAAGUGGUUGAUGUUGGAUCAAUUUCGCAUUAAGGAGGUCUUCAUGGUUGAAGAAAUUCCAGCGCGUAAGCACUCGGGUGUGAGGAAAGGAGAGAUGUUGGAAGCCCUAGCUUCUUCUUCGACAUAUGAACAAGGACUAUUGUCGGAGGAGGAGAAGACAACGGUGAAGGAAGGGAAGAGAAUGGGAUGGUGAACUGGACGACAGAGAAAGAACAGCCACCAUAAUCGGAGGAAGUGGAGAAGAAGCAUGAGUCCCGAUUUGCGAAUCCUCUGCACCAAGCCAAAAGAUCAUCAGUAGCAGCCAGAACUAGAGGAACUCCAACAGCCACAGAAGGUGCCUGUCCAUUAAUAUCACAGAUGAAGCAAGGGCACACCGUGGAAGAUGAAGGUAAUGAGCGAUUUGGGUCAUAUAUUUUUUCUCGUGAAGUGGUAGGAGGUUUGGAGGGCCUUGUUAAUGGGCUACAGGUGGAAAUGAAAGAAGAGAAAGUGGGGAAGUUAGUGGUUUGGGGCCAUGAUAUGGAGGGAGACCAACACGAAGAUUGCAGAAAUUCAAGCAAGACAACUGAAGGCAGAGUGGGCCAUUUCAUGAAGUUGGCCCAACAUGUAGAAGAUAAGAAUGCUUUAAUGAGAAUGGCCCAACUGAAGUUUUUCCCAAGCAGAAAUAAAAACUCUCUAAGCCCACUACCCUGAAGUACAACAGCCCACCAUUUUACCCAUAUCAAAACACACUCAACACUUAUCCAAAUUACGCAAAUCAUUCCAACGUGACCCAGCGAGCUACAGUUCUUCGUCACCAGAUCACGGCGAAAGGGGGGCCUCCGUUUCAAAAAUUGACCAACGUCAAGCUGCAAGAAAAAAUGGCCAGGGACUGUGUCACUGGUGUAAUAAAAACUACAGCCAAGUCAUGAGUGUAGAAAUAAGGCGCGCCAGGUACGAGUAUUGCAAGAAGAUGAAGAAGGUAGUUUAUGCGAGAAAUUCCUGUCCAUCAAACAUACAAAAACCGUAAAGGAAUUUUGGCUGAACUUUGAGGCUUUUGCAGCACCUUUACUCAACAUUCAGGAGGAGAUUCUGGAUUGUACAUUUGUUUAUGCGUUAAAAUCAGAAACCUGGAUAGAAGUCUGUCUAUUACAACCUAGUGGGUUGGGCUUCAUAAUGAAGAUGGCCUAACUAAUUGUGGACAAAAAUCAAAGGGGUAAGACAGCCCAAGAGCACCUAAGUGGACCCAAAUACAGCAUGCUAGCUACACCUCCAAAUCUGUGGACUUCAAAAGAGACAAAAUUCUUCCCUAAGAGAAACCCUCACAAGGGUUUAUGUACAAAGAACGGGCAAACCGUGACGAUGGAAGAGCGGGCAAUUUGUACCACCAACACUUCCUUGACUCCCACCUUGAGGACAAGGUGGAUUUGGAAACCAGGGAUAGUGAUAGGCUCCAAUCCACCUCACCUAUUCUAGACGGAAAUAAAAGAAUUAGCCUACGAAUGGGGGAGGGAAAACUGAAUUCCGUUAGAAAUAGAUCUAUAAAUAAGGGUAGAAUAUAGGAAUAGAGGUAGGCAAAUGUUGAGUAAGGAAAAGGAGUCCUGUAAACAUCUUCAUUCUUGUAACUUCUGCAGUUUAUUUCAAUCAAUAUUCCUUUCAGAUUCAGUUUUCUUUUUAGAGUCCUAUCAGAAAGAUGACUAAGAACAAAUAAACGAGAAGGAAAGAUCUACCAAACUUGACAUGCAGUACCAACGAACAGGGUGUCAGAUAUAAACAAACCUAAUUAAGAAGGUAUUGCAAUACUUGUUAGGUGAAAAUUGAAAUAGAAAUUGGGCCAUCUAUGGCAGUUUAUUAAACUACAAUAUUCCAUGAUUUUUAUGGUUAAACAGAGUUAUGAAACUGGAUUCUUGAGCGUCA
rnacentral:lncRNA from 1 species